rnacentral:rRNA from 1 species
AGCAGCCGCGGUAAUUCCAGCUCCAAUAGCGUAUAUUAAAGUUGUUGCAGUUAAAAAGCUCGUAGUUGAAUUUCGGAAUCUGUCCAUUGGUCGGGCUUCACUGUCCGUACUGGUGUGGUGGGUUCUUACCUUCUGAAUAACCAGCAUGCCAUUUAUUUGGUGCGUUGGGGAAGCAGGACUAUUACCUUGAAAAAAUUAGAGUGCUCAAAGCAGGCUAGUGCCUGAAUACAUUAGCAUGGAAUAAUAAAAUAGGACGGCAUGGUUCUAUUUUGUUGGUUUCUAGGAUCACCGUAAUGAUUAAUAGGGAUAGUUGGGGGCAUUAGUAUUCAAUUGUCAGAGGUGAAAUUCUUGGAUUUAUUGAAGACUAACUUCUGCGAAAGCAUUUGCCAAGGAUGUUUUCAUUAAUCAAGAACGAAAGUUAGGGGAUCGAAGACGAUCAGAUACCGUCGUAGUCUUAACCAUAAACUAUGCCGACUAGGGAUCGGACGAUGUUAAUUUUUAAUGACUCGU